rnacentral:rRNA from 1 species
AAAAACGUUACUCAUUGCAUCACAUGGAUGCCUCGACUCUGUACUCCGACGAAGGACGUGGCCAGCUGCGAUAAGCCUCGGUAAGCCGCUAGGCAGGCGUUAUAACCGGGGAUUUCCGAAUGGGGAAACCCAACCUUCGUAAUGGAAGGCUACCUCGCGUAAGCGGGGAGGUCACUCUGUGAACUGAAACAUCUCAUGUAACAGAGGAAAAGAAAUCAAUAGAGAUUCCCUUAGUAGUGGCGAGCGAAAAGGGAACAGCCCAAAUUCCACGAUAUUAUUGUGGAUGGUUGUAGGAGCCCAAUAUCUGAUUGCUUCAUUCUAGGCAAACGAUCCUGGAACGGACGGCCAAAGAGGGUGAGAGCCCCGUCGCCGAAAGACUGAAGCACAGUAGGGAUUUCCUGAGUAGGGUCGGACACGUGUAAUCCGGCCUGAAUCUAGGUGGACCACCACCUAAGGCUAAAUAGGUACAGAGAUCAAUAGCGGANNNNNNNNNNAAGGUGAAAAGCACCCCGGAAGGGGGAUGAAAUAGUCUCUGAAAUGUGAUGCAUACAAAGAAUCGGAGCUCGGUACCAUGGUGUCUUUUUUAGUUGCGACUGAUGUGGUCAGAGAAAAUUUUCAGUUUUCAAUUUUAAAUUUUCAUUCAAGGUCCAAUUUUCAAUGAUCAAAUAAUUCGUCUUGUCAUUGAAAAUUGUUAUAUUGGAUUUUGAUUGAAAAUUGAAAAUUCUAAAUUGAAAAUUAUCUGCGAUAGCUAUCAGACCAAUAUUUGUUGAAGACAGCAUGGUGCCGAGUGACGGUGUGCCUUUUGCAUAAUGAGCCAACGAGUUUGUCGUAUGUGGCAGGUUAAGGCCUAAAAGCCGAAGCCGGAGCGAAAGCGAGUCCGAAUAGGGCGUGUGCCUCGCUUUUGGUUUCAAUUAAUUUGUGAUAGUUAUCUUUGUUCUUUGGGUCAAAUUGACAAUUA